GACGAACGCUGGCGGCGUGCUUAACACAUGCAAGUCGAACGCUGACGGCUGAUCUUUCUCGGUCUGAUUAGUGCCGAAAGCGUGUGUAUCACGUGAGCAACCUCCCCUUCACUCUGGGAGACCACCGGGGAAACGGGGUGCUUAUAGGACAUGAGAUCUUUACACAUAGCGUGUGUUGGUGAAAUUUGCGGUGGCAUCGGGUCAGGAUGAUCCUGCGUUUUAUUAGUUUGUUGGUGAGGUAAAGGCUCAGCAAGGCGAUGAUGCGUAGCCGGCCUGAGAGGGAGACCGGCCACACUGGGACUGAGACACGGGCCAGACGCCUACGGGAGGCAGAAGUGGGGGAUAGUGCACGAUGGGCGAAGGCCUGAUGCAGCGACGCCGCGUGAGGGAUGACGGCCGUCGGGUUGUAAACCUCGUUCAGCAGGGAAGAAGCGAAAGUGACGGUACCUGCAGAAGAAGCGCCGGCUAACUACGUG
rnacentral:rRNA from 1 species